UGACAGAGACGGGAUUCGAACCCGCGCCAUAGAAAUGAUCACGACCUGAACGUGACGCCUUAGACCGCUCGGCCACUCUGUC